UACGUAGGGGGCUAGCGUUGUCCGGAUUUAUUGGGCGUAAAGAGCGUGUAGGCGGCCAGGUAGGUCUGCUGUGAAAACUCGAGGCUCAACCUCGAGAUGUCGGCGGAAACCAUCUGGCUAGAGUCCGGAAGAGGAGAGUGGAAUUCCUGGUGUAGCGGUGAAAUGCGCAGAUAUCAGGAAGAACACCCGGGGCGAAGGCGGCUCUCUGGGACGGUACUGACGCUGAGACGCGAAAGCGUGGGGAGCGAACAGG
rnacentral:rRNA from 1 species